GCGUGUGUGGAUGCUGUAUGCCUGUGUGUGCCUGUCUCGGUGUGCCCGCCUCUGUGUGUUGUAUGUGUGUGUGUGCCAGCCUAUAGUGUGCCUGUGGGGGCGGGUUAUGUUAAUCCGGGGCCAGUGGGGCAUUAUGGGGGCAUUGUUUUGGGUGGGUUAAGGGGAUCUACCAUCCGGUAGAUUCAUAGCUGGGUUGGUGGCCUCAGGGCUGUUUGUACUGUGGUGGCAGUUGGGUUUCGCUCUCCUAGCCUUGUUAAAGGCUGUAAGCGAGUGGCAAGCCAUUCCAAUAAAGAGCUUUGAGUACUUGUCAUGAGUCUCACGGGUCCUCCUUCCUCUUCCACGCCACAAUAUUU